rnacentral:rRNA from 1 species
GAAACUGACGGAACUCUUCGGAGGGAAGGCAGUGGAAUGAGCGGCGGACGGGUGAGUAACACGUAAGGAACCUGCCUCAAGGAUUGGGAUAACUCCGAGAAAUCGGAGCUAAUACCGGAUAGUUCAACGGACCGCAUGGUCCGCUGAUGAAAGGCGCUNCGGCGUCACCUUGAGAUGGCCUUGCGGUGCAUUAGCUAGUUGGUGGGGUAAUGGCCCACCAAGGCGACGAUGCAUAGCCGACCUGAGAGGGUGAUCGGCCACACUGGGACUGAGACACGGCCCAGACUCCUACGGGAGGCAGCAGUAGGGAAUCUUCCACAAUGGACGAAAGUCUGAUGGAGCAACGCCGCGUGAGUGAUGAAGGUUUUCGGAUCGUAAAACUCUGUUGUAAGGGAAGAACACGUACGAGAGGUAAUGCUCGUACCUUGACGGUACCUUACGAGAAAGCCACGGCUAACUACGUGCCAGCAGCCGCGGUAAUACGUAGGUGGCAAGCGUUGUCCGGAAUUAUUGGGCGUAAAGCGCGCGCAGGCGGCCUUUUAAGUCUGAUGUGAAAGCCCCCGGCUCAACCGGGGAGGGCCAUUGGAAACUGGAAGGCUUGAGUACAGAAGAGAAGAGUGGAAUUCCACGUGUAGCGGUGAAAUGCGUAGAGAUGUGGAGGAACACCAGUGGCGAAGGCGACUCUUUGGUCUGUAACUGACGCUGAGGCG